rnacentral:rRNA from 1 species
UGGGGAAUAUUGCACAAUGGAGGGAACUCUGAUGCAGCGACGCCGCGUGAGUGAUGAAGGAAUUCGUUUCGUAAAACUCUGUUCUAUGGGAAGAAAAGGACUGUAUCAUAGCAGAAAGCUCCGGCUAAAUACGUGCCAGCAGCCGCGGUAAUAUGUAUGGAGCGAGCGUUGUCCGGAAUUAUUGGGCGUAAAGGGUGCGCAGGCGGCUUUACAAGUUGGAUGUGAAAUAUUGUGGCUCAACCACAAACGUGCAUCCAAAACUGCAAAGCUUGAGUUAAGGAGAGGUAAGUUGAAUUCCUGGUGUAGCGGUGGAAUGCGUAGAUAUCAGGAGGAAUACCGGUGGCGAAGGCGACUUACUGGACUUAAACUGACACUAAGGCACAAAAGCGUGGGGAGCAAACAGG